AAAGAACACAGUCUGUCACAGUUGAUGAAGAUGAUGAAGAUGACGAUGAAGAGACCACAUCUGCUGUGACAGAAGUGGACAAUGCUGGUAGAUCCACUGAGUACAUACCUGGGGAUUUGCCCACAGAUGAAGGUCCUUCAACCUCAAUGCACAAUCUAAGCAGUGUAAGAAUUUGUGUGCAGCUGUCCAUAUUUUAAUUUUAUUGUCUGACAGAAUCUCAUUUAUUUAUUUAUUUAUUUUUUUGCCUUCCUAGUUGCCAGCAAAGGAGCUGUAUAAGGGCCAUCUUCAAAAACAAAUAAGAAAAAGUGACAUGGAGAUGGACCUUAUACAGCUUCAAAUGGAGGAGAAAAGGCUAUCCAUUAAAAAAGCAACGCUAGAAAUUGAAUUACUGGAGCAUCGCCUUAAGGUGAGAACUUGUGUGAAUAUUAAUCUGCACGUUAAAAGUGUUGUCUAUAUAAAGCAAUGUAAUAAAAAAAAAAAAAAAAUGAUAAUUUUACUUUCAUUGUUUUUCAGGAAAUAAAGAAUGAACUGCACAGCAGACCAGUGCAAACAAUUUAAUAAAAGUAAUUUUGACAAAUCCUGUCUCUCAAAAGUCUUCCAUCUCUGUUGUGUGCAAAAAUCUGUAGGGGUUCCUCUGGGCCAUCUUCUUCAAUACAAGGAGGGUGGCUCUCUCCUCUUAUAGUGGCAAUGUUGUGAAGUACAACACAAGCCACUAUGAUGUCGCAUGCCCUCUCUGG